rnacentral:rRNA from 1 species
UACGAAGGGGGCUAGCGUUGCUCGGAAUCACUGGGCGUAAAGGGUGCGUAGGCGGGUCUUUAAGUCAGGGGUGAAAUCCUGGAGCUCAACUCCAGAACUGCCUUUGAUACUGAAGAUCUUGAGUUCGGGAGAGGUGAGUGGAACUGCGAGUGUAGAGGUGAAAUUCGUAGAUAUUCGCAAGAACACCAGUGGCGAAGGCGGCUCACUGGCCCGAUACUGACGCUGAGGCACGAAAGCGUGGGAGCAAC